rnacentral:rRNA from 1 species
GUCCAGACUCCUACGGGAGGCAGCAGUGGGGGAUAUUGCACAAUGGGGGAAACCCUGAUGCAGCGACGCCGCGUGUGGGAAGACGGUCUUCUGGAUUGUAAACCACUGUCCCCAGGGACGAAAAUGACGGUACCUGGGGAGGAAGCUCCGGCUAACUACGUGCCAGCAGCCGCGGUAAUACGUAGGGAGCAAGCGUUGUCCGGAAUUACUGGGUGUAAAGGGAGCGUAGGCGGGGAUGCAAGUUGGGUGUCAAAACUACCGGCUCAACCGAUAGUCGCACUCAAAACUGCAACUCUUGAGUGAAGUAGAGGCAGGCGGAAUUCCUAGUGUAGCGGUGAAAUGCGUAGAUAUCAGGAGGAACACCGGUGGCGAAGGCGGCCUGCUGGACUGCGACUGACGUUGAGGCCCGAAAGCGUGGGGAGCAAACAGGAUUAGAUACCCUCGUAC